rnacentral:rRNA from 1 species
UACAGAGGGUGGCAAGCGUUAAUCGGAAUUACUGGGCGUAAAGCGUGCGUAGACGGUUAUUUAAGUCGGGUGUGAAAGCCCCGGGCUCAACCUGGGAAUUGCAUUCGAGACUGAAUAGCUAGGGUACGGUAGAGGGAAGUGGAAUUUCCGGUGUAAGCGGUGAAAUGCGUAGAUAUCGGAAGGAACAUCAGUGGCGAAAGCGACUUCCUGGACCAGUACCGACGUCAGGCACGAAAGCGUGGGGAGCAAACAGG